rnacentral:lncRNA from 1 species
GAAAUGGGAUCAAAAAGGAGCACAGAGAUAACCUGAAUAUGCCAAAAGAGCUCAAAGGUCUAAAAAGCAAAGACCAAUCCAGGUAAAACCAGGAGAAAACCCAAAGCAAAACAAAAACUGGUGCUAACUUUGCUAUACAGAAAAAUCACAUGUCACCGGCAAGACAAUACAAAGACUGGAGUACUCAAGCUACUCUAAAGGAAAGAAAGAAGAGCAGAGUUCAGUGGAAGAUGAUGAAUACAGAUCAUGUAUCUGGCAGUGAACCUACAGCUUCCUUUAUUAAAAGGAACCAAGUUAUUUGUAAUUUGAGUCUCCACAAACAUUGAUGUGCAUGUUUUCCCUUUAUCUUCAAGCAACAACUGUCACUAGAUGUCAUAUAAUUAGGAAAGGUAAGCAUCAUUUUAAAUGUUCAGUCUACUGCCAAUUUCAUGCCACUGAUUGUCCACCACUAUUAUUGGCAGUAAAAUGGGGGUGGUGAUAAAUUGAAAUACUUAUUUCUGGCUGUCAAAUGAUGAAUAGCAUUUAUGUUCACAAAUUUGACUGUGGGAGUUAGGAGGGGAAGGCACUAAAUUAGGUUGGACUGGGUUCAGGCAAAAUCAUUUUACUUCACUUAUAAAGUGAGCAAAGAGAAAGAAAAAAAUAUAUCCUCUCUCCCCCACCCACCCUUUUAAUUUCCACAUAACUAAACACUCCAACUGACUUAAAUAAGACAUCAAAAUCCCUGUCCAGUGCUGAACUAGGAGAAAGUUUGGGGGGGAGUGAGGGGGGAGGAAGGCUUUUGGAUUGUUGUUAUAUGGGCAGAAAUGCAAAAAUCAUCCUCCCCAAAGAAAGUCCAGAUCCAUGGAUGACAGUAUGUCUGUCACAGGCAGUUCAUAAGUUCCAGAAAUUUCUUCUCCAAUGUAAAGUAAUCCAAAAUUAGAGCAACUAACUAAAUUGCUGCAGGUAGUUCAAUAAAUGAAGAACAUUUAAUAUUCCUCUCA